GCGGGAGUAGCUCAGUUGGCUAGAGCGUUUCCUUGCCAAGGAAAAGGUCGCGGGUUCGAAUCCCGUCUCCCGCUCCA
rnacentral:tRNA from 1 species